rnacentral:rRNA from 1 species
AGAGUUUGAUUCUGGCUCAGGAUGAACGCUGGCGGCGUGCCUAACACAUGCAAGUCGAGCGAUUCUCUUCGGAGAAGAGCGGCGGACGGGUGAGUAACGCGUGGGUAACCUGCCUCAUACACAUGGAUAACAUACCGAAAGGUAUGCUAAUACAGGAUAAUAUAAGAGAUUCACAUGGAUUUCUUAUCAAAGCUCCGGCGGUAUGAGAUGGACCCGCGUCUGAUUAGCUAGUUGGUAAGGUAACGGCUUACCAAGGCGACGAUCAGUAGCCGACCUGAGAGGGUGAUCGGCCACAUUGGAACUGAGACACGGUCCAAACUCCUACGGGAGGCAGCAGUGGGGAAUAUUGCACAAUGGGCGAAAGCCUGAUGCAGCAACGCCGCGUGAGUGAUGAAGGCCUUCGGGUCGUAAAACUCUGUCCUCAAGGAAGAUAAUGACGGUACUUGAGGAGGAAGCCCCGGCUAACUACGUGCCAGCAGCCGC